AUGCUCCUGUGUUUUAAUGUUGGCAGAUCUCUGAACCCCGCCCUAGCGGUUCAGAAUUGAACCCCGGUCUUCUCCCUCCCCAUACGAAGCCCGGGGUUUUUUUUGCCCGGCG
rfam:Pseudomonas alcaligenes NBRC 14159 DNA, contig: PA6016.